AGUAAGCAAGUCAAGGCAGUGAGUCAGGACCCGCUGUGACCCCUCUGAAAUAAGGUUGGGGGGAGAGAGAGGGUGAAUGACUGAUAGAGAGAAAAAAACAGAGCAAGGAAAGCAAGCCAGCACAGAGCAAGGGAGCCAAAAGACUGAAGCAAGUGGUGGCCAUGAGCUAAUGAAUCCAGCCCCGGGUAGCAGCAAAGACCACCUGAGCCAAGAUGCCUACGGCACGGCAGCCAAGAACCACCUAAAGACUUGUUCCAGGAUGCCGUGCUGUGAUCAGCUAGACACCUCAAGCUCCUCUGCUGUGGGACCACCUGCGUGAACUUGGGGAAAACAGUCGGAAAGUCAUCGCAGUAAGUCUCAUCUCAGUGUGACAGAAGAAUACGGAAACUGGUUUGGAACAUGUUUACAUUUCAGUGAAAGAACUUUUCAGCAUAAAUAUGCAUAAGAACCCAUGCAUAGACUUCCAGAUAUUGGCUGACGUGGUUUUUCUCCGAGAGGACUUCAGUGGAACAACACAAUCAUGUGAAAUCAAUAUUUAUCAUCAGGCUUUAAUCACCUUGUGGUCAUGGGUUUCUGAGGAUGUCAUCAGUCUGGAAAAAGUAGCAAAGAACAAAGGAGAGCAAAGGUGAGGCAGAUAAGAAUAUGGUGUGUUAAGCAAAUCUGUGAAUAAACUUCAAA